rnacentral:rRNA from 1 species
UGAGGAAUAUUGCGCAAUGGGGGCAACCCUGACGCAGCGACGCCGCGUGAGUGAGGAAGGCCUUCGGGUCGUAAAGCUCUGUCAAAGGGAAGGAAGUGCAUGGUGGCUAAUACCUGCCAUGUUUGACGGUACCCUUAAAGGAAGCACCGGCUAACUCCGUGCCAGCAGCCGCGGUAAUACGGAGGGUGCAAGCGUUGUUCGGAAUCACUGGGCGUAAAGGGCGCGUAGGCGGUUUGAUAAGUCAGAUGUGAAAGCCCUCGGCUCAACCGGGGAACUGCGUCUGAUACUGCUCGACUUGAGUCCGGUAGGGGAUGGCGGAAUUCCCGGUGUAGCGGUGGAAUGCGUAGAUAUCGGGAGGAACACCGAUGGCGAAGGCGGCCAUCUGGGCCGGAACUGACGCUGAGGCGCGAGAGCUAGGGGAGCAAACA